AUAACUCACGGAGCAGCAGUCGUCUGCAAUGGAUCACGGACGACAAACCGCUCCGAAAGGCUUUCCACCGGCAACAAUAGGAGUCGCCCUAAACUCAGCUGAAAGUAGGAAGGAUGAAUUGUUUUGCCAAAUGAUGCCAAAAUCCAUAGCUAAUCAGAGACACUGAAUGAAGCAAACAUUAUUCCUCAAGAGGCACAAACUGAGCUGGCAUUGGCUUAUAUGGCUACAGCAGUGGAGUUGCCAUAGAGGUAGCCUGCAUAAUAUUUUUGUGAGCUGUUUCAUAUGAGAUAGCAUGCCAGAAAAAAAGGAUUACUGGACCUUCCAGUGCUGUAGACAACUGACUCUCUCUGGACAUGAAUCUGUUGGAGAAAGGCCAGGGCAGGUGUAAAAGUGACUUUGUUGCCAAUAGAAUGAAUCAUCAGAAUUUCUGAUAUCAACAGGAUACAGUAUCUACAUAUAAUGGUACUGUUCCAGAACAUUGUGUUCCCAGAAGAGAUAUGAAACUUCUUCUGGAUCCUCACUCUUGAAACUGUCGCUUGUGCUCUAUUAAAUUAAAUAAAAUGUCAAGCUAUCA